rnacentral:rRNA from 1 species
GAUGAACGCUAGCGGCAGGCUUAACACAUGCAAGUCGAGGGGCAGCGCGGGAUAGCAAUAUCCUGGCGGCGACCGGCGGAAGGGUGCGUAACGCGUGAGCGACAUGCCCGUUGCCCGGGGACAACCGGUGGAAACGCCGACUAAUCCCCGAUGGGAUACGAUGCUUCAUGGCAUUGUAUUGAAAGUUACGGCGGCGACGGAUUGGCUCGCGUCCGAUUAGCUGGUUGGCGGGGUAACGGCCCACCAAGGCUGCGAUCGGUAGGGGUUCUGAGAGGAAGGCCCCCCACAAUGGGACUGAGACACGGCCCAUACUCCUACGGGAGGCAGCAGUGGGGAAUAUUGGUCAAUGGGCGGAAGCCUGAACCAGCCAUGCCGCGUGCGGGAAGGAGGCCCUAUGGGCUGUGAACCGCUUUUGCCUGGGGGCAAUAAGGGCGUCGCGCACGUCCGAUGAGAGUACCAGGCGAAUAAGCAUCGGCUAACUCCGUG